GACGAGCGCUGGCGGCGUGCCUAAUACAUGCAAGUCGAACGCUUCUUUCCUCCCGAGUGCUUGCACUCAAUUGGAAAGAGGAGUGGCGGACGGGUGAGUAACACGUGGUUAACCUACCCAUCAACGGGGGAUAACACUUGCUAACAGGUGCUAAUACCGCAUAACAGUUUAUGCCGCAUGGCAUAAGAGUGAUAGGCGCUUUCGGGUGUCGCUGAUGGAUGGAUCCGCGGUGCAUUAGCUAGUUGGUGAGGUAACGGCUCACCAAGGCAACGAUGCAUAGCCGACCUGAGAGGGUGAUCGGCCACACUGGGACUGAGACACGGCCCAGACUCCUACGGGAGGCAGCAGUAGGGAAUCUUCGGCAAUGGACGAAAGUCUGACCGAGCAACGCCGCGUGAGUGAAGAAGGUUUUCGGAUCGUAAGACUCUGUUGUUAGGGAAGAACAAGGACGUAAGUAACUGAACGUCUCCUGACGGUACCUAACCAGAAAGCCACGGCUAACUACGUG
rnacentral:rRNA from 1 species